rnacentral:rRNA from 1 species
UACUUACUCCAUUAGAACUAGAACUUCGACCUUUAAUACGUUAAUCGACGUGCGUAAUACGUUCGUUGGGUUCUUAACCUCCUUCAUUCUUACAACGUAAACUUCUGCCCCCUCCAGGACGACAAAGACGAUAGACUUCGGGUCCAUCCGGUGUAACUUGUAUAUUUGCGAGGAUCUGAUGGGCGGUUGGACUCCGGAGGCGCGCGCUGCGACCAACCCGGCACGCUAGAAAGAUGACACGAGAAAAAACUGACGGCCGUGAACCUAGUUUGGGAUCUGGCUUCCCCAUUUUUCUUCGUUGCGUCGGCCGAGGAGAGAGGGGCGAGCAGAGGAGGAGAGGGGGUGCGGCGGGGAGGAGAGGGGCGAGCAGAGGAGGAGAGGAGAAGGGAGCUGCGGCUGAGGAGCGACCGGAGGCGGAAGGGAGAGGCGCAGUGGGGGCGUUAGGAACGGCGGCGGAGGAGAGGACGGCGGCGGUGGAGCCGGAGCAGAGGAGACACGACGGAGGAGGAGAGGUGAAGAGAGGCGGUGGCGUACCGGCGGCGGCGAGCGCACGUGAUGCAGCUACACCUGCCUCGCGCCCUGUUCCACUGCCACUGACCGUGCCGCUCGGUCUUCUUGCACGACGCGCGCCGCGUGCCCCUUCGAGCGGGUGAUGGGAGGAGGUGAACAAGAGCAGAGCCAGUCCGACCACUGGUCACGGUCGUGGCGACGGUGUACAGCGGGUGCGGGGAGGAGGCGAGCGAGAGCAGAGCCAGUCCGACCCCAUGCAGAUGAUGAACACGACGACGAUCUACACACUACAACCAACAUAUGAACAUAUACACAAGUUACAACAACCCACGACGACCAAGAUGAUGAUGGACACGACGACUACAAGUAAGGUAACCUCGACUCAGAGGAACGGCCGCUGGAACGGUAGUUAACGGAUAGACGUCCAUGCUAUCGAGGAGGAGGGGGAGAGAAGUUCCUCUCCACCGAUACUUUGAACAAGGAUUGCUUCUAUUUAAAUACCUCCACCAAUCCCCUUGUCCUCCUCGUUCAAACCGGACCGUCCACGAAGAGUCCAAGCUACCGAAGGUCGUUGUAGUUCUAGUAUCACGAAAGGAGAAUCGAGUUUUAGAUGUACAACAGCUAAGCUAUUCUCUUCCGUUCCUCGACAGGCGCUAGUCACAUAAAGGGUAGCCAUGUAGUUCCACACUAGUAGACGUUCCGGCUUAAUACGGUAACAACUACCACGUGUCACUUAAGUACCUACUCUACCUGCUUAAAGAUAACACACCCGACCUCCAAGAACUCCCAUCUUAUCCUACCCUCCUCCCCUGCACGCGAGGUAUAAAACAAUACGUGUGGAAGGAUUUGAUAUGAAAAGAAGAAUUGUAUACAAGUAACAGGCCAUCUUCGACAUCUAAAGUCGUAUGUGGCACGAUGGCCGACCCGUAGAAGUAGGACUCGGCACAGGUCUUGUUCUGGUCAUCCCCGUGGGACUCGCUCAUGAGCUCCGUACGACAGUUCAACCUACUCACGUUGGUCCGCUCAACGGCAUAAAUGUAUCUCUACGGAGCUCGUAUACCUCCCUCGUUCUAUUCCCCGAAACUGUCACAGAAGUGUGGCGGAGUCUCCCCCACGGUGGCUCCCGAAAGAGUACCUUGCGCCACGUUCCACCAAAAUGCCACGUGAUCCCCUCGUACCUUGCACCACGUGACCCCCACGGUGACU